CGCAGGCGAAGGGCUUCUCGCCGGUGUGCGUGCGGAUGUGGGUGGUGAGGUGGUCGCUGCGGCUGAAGUUCCGCAUGCAGAUGCGGCACUGGAAGGGCUUGUGGCCCGUGUGGAUGCGGAUGUGCCGGGAAAGCGACUCGCACAUAUGGUCUGUAGCGUGCAAGGCCUCUUUCCAGUGGUCUGCAGAAUAAAAGCAACCCACUGACAACCCAAGCAGCAGCAAGACUGGGCAACGUAUGUGAGGUGCUACAAAAGCACACUCCUGUUCCGCAGCAACAAGCCAGAGGAUACAUAGGAAGGUAUGCAGAAGGAUUCAAUGAAACAUCAGCACAAAGAGAAUUUAAGGAACCUCCUCCUGGCUAACUUCAUCUAAGGAACACUGCUCCUGGUUGACUUGAUUGGUGAAUUCUAAAAGCCUUUUCAAGAAUGAGGUGAACUGUGCCUGAUUUCCAGCCUUGACAGUGACAGCCAAGUCAUUUGAGUUCUCUCAAUGGGAGCUUUGUCUGGAUGGCAGCAGAAUCUGGU